rnacentral:sRNA from 1 species
GCUGGGUGCAGUAGAGCACGCCUGUAAUCCCAUCUGCUCAGGAGGCUGAGACAGGAGGGUCGUGAAUUCAAAGCAAAUGGGAGGUGCUAAGCAAUUGAGACCCUGUCUCUA